CAUUAUUGUACAACAGAGGCACCCAGGGCUGUCGCUGGCCUUUACAGGUUGUGCACGCCCAAAGUGCUCUCAAAAUCCAUCUCACCCCUUUGUGCAUCACCGCGUGGGGCCCCCCAUUCGGGGGUCUUGCGUUUUUACAAUAUACGCCACAUGUAUAGAAAGUCUUUGCGAUCACACGCAAUUAAUAUAACUUUCAACAACGGAUCUCUUGGCUCUCGCAUCGAUGAAGAACGCAGCGAAAUGCGAUACGUAAUGUGAAUUGCAGAAUUCAGUGAAUCAUCGAAUCUUUGAACGCACCUUGCGCCCCUUGGUAUUCCGAGGGGCACACCCGUUUGAGUGUCGUGAACAACCUCAACCUUCUUGGUUUCUUGACCAGGAAGGCUUGGACUUUGGAGGCUUUCCUUGCUGGCUUUUGUUUAGUCGGCUCCUCCUAAAUGAAUUAGUGGGAUUUGCUUUGCUGAUCCUUGACGUGAUAAGUAUGUUUCUACGUCUUGGUUUUCACAAUGUCACCUGCUUCAAACUGUCUUUAAACAAAAAGACAACGUUCGAGUCACCUCGCAAGUCGUGGCUUGACCUCACCAACCUUGACCUCAAAUCGGGUGAGACUACCCGCUGAACUUAAGCAUAUCAAUAAGCGGAGGAAAAGAAACUAACAAGGAUUCCCCUAGUAACUGCGAGUGAAGCGGGAAAAGCUCAAAUUUAAAAUCUGGUGGUCUUUGGCCAUCCGAGUUGUAAUUUAGAGAAGCGUCUUCCGCGCUGGACCGUGCACAAGUCUCCUGGAAUGGAGCGUCAUAGAGGGUGAGAAUCCCGUCUUUGGCAUGGAUCCCAGGGCUUUUGUGAUGCGCUCUCGACGAGUCGAGUUGUUUGGGAAUGCAGCUCAAA
rnacentral:rRNA from 1 species